GGGUCAGUAGUUUGGUCGUGCCACUGGUAUGUACUGGGCUCACUGAUUCCUCCUUCCUGAUGAACUGUAAUGCCAUUAAUUUGGUGUUGCGGGGAAACUGGACUGUUACUUUGAAAAAAUUAGAGUGUUUAAAGCAAGCUAACGCUUGAAUACAUUAGCAUGGAAUAAUGAAAUAGGACGUUCGAUCCUAUUUUGUUGGUUUCUAGGAUCGACGUA
rnacentral:rRNA from 1 species